rnacentral:tRNA from 1 species
GGCCCUAUAGCUCAGCGGUAGAGCGUUGGCUUCCAGUACAUAUUUGGAAUCUUCCAAAGGUCAUCCGUUCAAAUCGGGUUGGGGUCA